UAGAGAAAUUAUGACGAUGUCUACAAAGUGUACGCAGAGGAGCAACGAGAAAAGACGAAGAAUAUUCAGGUACUGCGUCAACCCGAAGGGUGGCUGGAAAUCAAUAGACAGAGGACGAAAGAGGAGAGAAAGGAGAAGAAGAAGAGGUACCAGGAGCGACUCAGCAUCCAACAUACAGGUAUAUACUGUGUUGAGUGCCGGCGUUCGGAGAAACAGACCAAUGGAAACCUCUGUCUAAUAUGUGACGCUAAGAGACGACGGCGUGAACUGGAUAAGCGUGAAAAGACAGAUAAGGUGUUCCUGUUCGACGAUAUGACCCCGAGAAGGAAGAAGAAACGCCAGAUCGAUGCCUUAGAGAUCGUCCCUGAAAACACUGUAGCAACUGCAGAGCCAGUGAAAGAGAAGGAGACGGAAGCAGAAGAACCUCUCGCGAGCUAGACAGACAACGCUUACAAUAUAAUGAACUGUAAUGACAAACACCAGAACGUCGGAAUCAUUUUCCAACUUUGUGAUAAACGUCAUUGGUUCGGUGGUACUCAUUGAUGUAUUCA